GACGAACGCUGGCGGCGUGCCUAAUACAUGCAAGUCGAACGAGAGCGACCGGUGCUUGCACUGGUCAAUCUAGUGGCGAACGGGUGAGUAACACGUGGGUAACCUGCUCAUCAGAGGGGGAUAACAUCCGGAAACGGAUGCUAAAACCGCAUAGGUCUUCGAGCCGCAUGGCUUGAAGAGGAAAAGAGGCGCAAGCUUCUGCUGAUGGAUGGACCCGCGGUGCAUUAGCUAGUUGGUGAGGUAACGGCUCACCAGGGCCGUGAUGCAUAGCCGACCUGAGAGGGUGAUCGGCCACAUUGGGACUGAGACACGGCCCAAACUCCUACGGGAGGCAGCAGUAGGGAAUCUUCCGCAAUGGACGCAAGUCUGACGGAGCAACGCCGCGUGAGUGAAGAAGGUUUUCGGAUCGUAAAACUCUGUUGUUAGAGAAGAACAAGUGCUAGAGUAACUGUUAGCGCCUUGACGGUAUCUAACCAGAAAGCCACGGCUAACUACGUG
rnacentral:rRNA from 1 species